UUCCACUUAAAAGGAUAAACCCAUAAUUUAUGAUCUAGGAGGAAACCCAACUGUGCAGGGUAAAGUGGUUCACACCAAAAGCUCAACAGUUGCAUGAAUGGCAUUAGCAUUGACAUGGUAGCUUUACAUACUGUUAAAGAAAUAACCAUGAAUCCAGUUAACAACCCAGUGCACAUUCCCUAUAUUUGAUUUCAAUCCGUCACAUAUUUUGUAUUGCAAUUACCUUUCAGAAACAGGGAUUUUCUAAAUGAUUCAAUAAUACACAUCUCAAAAAAUAUGCCGAGUGGAAUUUCACGUUCUCAAGGCUUGAAGAUGGAAAGGGGAAAAAUGAGAAUAAUACUAACAGUAUCACUCAAAACUACACAACCAGCUGACACCCAAAGGAGAGCUGUACAAGAAUAGCUUAUUAGUUUAAUCCACAAACACAUACAAAUAAAAUUGAAAUAAAUCAGCCAGCUCAAGGUAGAGCAUCAAAUGACAGCAUGCCUUCUUUUCUCCCCCUCAAGUUCCAACUUCCAACCUAGAAAGCAUGUAUGAAAAAAUGGCAAUUGUAAACAACUCUUGAGAAUGAAACUAUAAGAUUAGAAACAUACUCCCAGCCGAUAAGAACCAAAG
rnacentral:misc_RNA from 1 species